rnacentral:rRNA from 1 species
UACAGAGGUCUCGAGCGUUGUUCGGAUUCAUUGGGCGUAAAGGGCGCGUAGGCGGCGGGGUAAGUCUGGUGUGAAAUCUAGGAGCUCAACUCCUAAACUGCACUGGAUACUGCUCUGCUAGAGGACUGGAGAGGAGAUUGGAAUUUACGGCGUAGCAGUGAAAUGCGUAGAUAUCGUAAGGAAGACCAGUGGCGAAGGCGAAUCUCUGGACAGUUACUGACACUGAGGCACGAAGGCCAGGGGAGCAAACGGG